GGAGUUAGCCGGUGCUUCUUCUGUGAGUGAUGUCCUUCCUGCCGGCUAUUAACCCGCAGGCCUUCUUCCUCACUGAAAGUGCUUUACAACCCGAAGGCCUUCUUCACACACGCGGCAUGGCUGGAUCAGGGUUGCCCCCAUUGUCCAAUAUUCCCCACUGCUGCCUCCCGUAGGAGUCUGGGCCGUGUCUCAGUCCCAGUGUGGCUGAUCAUCCUCUCAGACCAGCUACGGAUCGUCGCCUUGGUGAGCCGUUACCUCACCAACCAGCUAAUCCGACAUAGGCUCAUCCGAUAGCGCGAGGCCCGAAGGUCCCCCGNUUUCCCCCGUAGGGCGUAUGCGGUAUUAGCCUGGGUUUCCCCAGGUUAUCCCCCACUACCGGGCAGAUUCCUAUGCAUUACUCACCCGUCCGCCGCUCGCCACCAGGGAGCAAGCUCCCCGUGCUGCCGCUCGACUUGCAUGUGUUAGGCCUGCCGCCAGCGUUCAUCUGAACCAAGAUACAAUUACUGA
rnacentral:rRNA from 1 species